AACAAAACUCACACAGGCCUCUAUUUUCUUUUCCAUAGGUGCUGGAGAUGGAGGCCAGGCAUCUGUCACACAAGGUUAGGAGAAAGUGAGCUGAACACCGGCCUUCAUCUCUCUGCGCCCUGACUGUGAAUGCCACGUGACCAGAUGGUUCACACUCCUGAACACCUGCAUUCAUCUCUCUGCACCCUGACUGUGAAUGCCACAUGACCGGAUGGUUCACACACCCACCGCACCUGUCCCUGCUUUGAUGACUGUGUACCACCAAGCUAUGAGCCAAAAUAAACACUCCUUCCUUUAA